rnacentral:misc_RNA from 1 species
AAGUCGUAACAAGGUUUCCGUAGGUGAACCUGCGGAAGGAUCAUUAAUACGUUUCUAAACAAAACGUUGUAAACUCCAAAAUUACACAGUGGAAACUAAACUUCCGGAUGCAUUUGUAGGGAGGUUCAGUGUAAAAACUGAACAUCCUUGAAAAAGGGACUUCAAGGUCGCAAGACUUUGACACUUCAGUGUAGAGCAGUGAGGUGAAAAUUCAGCAAUGAGUUUUGGUUCUGAAAUACAUCUGUAUCCGGUUAUUCUCUGUUCUACAACCUUUAAUUAUCAAACAAUAAACCCCAUGUACAACAACUUGAACUAAACAAUUUUGUUUUCUCUAGCUUAACCGCUUGAGAAGAUGAAGUAAAAUCUGAACUUAAGAACAACUCUUAACAACGGAUAUCUUGGUUCUC